AAAUACGCCGUGUCGAUCACAGUGUAACAAUCUGCGCGGGAGGAAGCCACAGAGUGUUUGGCUGCGACCAACUGAGGAGGCGGGUGAUUCUUAGGACAGCAAAACCAUGACGCAGGAAUUGACUCCCGUGCGGGUUGUCCUGGUGACAGGGUCGAGUGGCUUCCUCGGCCAGCACGUGGUGAAGGAGCUCCACGAAGAAGAGCACGCUACGAUCCGAGAAAUACGACUGUUCGACAACCGACCUUACGAGAACAGAAUAGGUUUUCAUGUCUCCAAGCCCAAGGAAACGAAGGAAUACGUGGGAGACAUUUGCAACGCUGCUGAGUUGAGUGCUGCGCUGAGCGGAGUCGACGCGGUGAUUCAUUGCGCGUCUAUCGUUGACCCCAGAUUCUUCGCCGACUCCAAAGUCAUGGAACGGGUCAACGUCCAAGGUAGCUCACUGGCGUCCAUUUGUCCCGUUCCUUGCUCAGUAAAUACUUUAUUUUAAGGUGUAUUUAUACCUGAGAACUGAAAAG